GCUUAACGCGAAGAACCUUACCUGGUCUUGACAUCCACAGAAGUUUUCAGAGAUGAGAAUGUGCCUUCGGGAACUGUGAGACAGGUGCUGCAUGGCUGUCGUCAGCUCGUGUUGUGAAAUGUUGGGUUAAGUCCCGCAACGAGCGCAACCCUUAUCCUUUGUUGCCAGCGGUCCGGCCGGGAACUCAAAGGAGACUGCCAGUGAUAAACUGGAGGAAGGUGGGGAUGACGUCAAGUCAUCAUGGCCCUUACGACCAGGGCUACACACGUGCUACAAUGGCAUAUACAAAGAGAAGCGACCUCGCGAGAGCAAGCGGACCUCAUAAAGUAUGUCGUAGUCCGGAUUGGAGUCUGCAACUCGACUCCAUGAAGUCGGAAUCGCUAGUAAUCGUGGAUCAGAAUGCCACGGUGAAUACGUUCCCGGGUCUUGUACACACCG
rnacentral:rRNA from 1 species